AUUGAACGCUGGCGGCAGGCCUAACACAUGCAAGUCGAGCGAGCGGCGGACGGGUGAGUAAUGUAUGGGGACUGCCCGAUAGAGGGGGAUAACUACUGGAAACGGUAGCUAAUACCGCAUACUAUCGGAUAACCCAUAUGGGAUUAGCUAGUAGGUGAGGUAAUGGCUCACCUAGGCGACGAUCCCUCGCUGGGCUGCGAGGAGGAUCAGCCACACUGGGACUGAGACACGGCCCAGACUCAUCCGGAGGCAGCAGUGGGGAAUCUUGGACAAGUGGGGCAACCCUGAUCCAGCCAUCCCGCGUGUAUGACGAAGGCCUUCGGGUUUUAAAGUACUUUCGGUAGGGAAGCGUGAUCUGCAGAAUGAGCACCGGCUAACUUCGUGCCAGCAGCCGCGGUAAUUC
rnacentral:rRNA from 1 species